rnacentral:rRNA from 1 species
CAACGCGAAGAACCUUACCUGGGCUCGAACGGCUCACGAACGUCCUUGGAAACAGGGAUUUCCCGCAAGGGACGGGAGUCGAGGUGCUGCAUGGCUGUCGUCAGCUCGUGUCGUGAGAUGUUGGGUUAAGUCCCGCAACGAGCGCAACCCUUGUCCUGUGUUGCCAUGAUUUAGUAAUAGAUCGGAACUCGCAGGAGACCGCCAGCGAUAAGCUGGAGGAAGGUGGGGAUGACGUCAAGUCCUCAUGGCCUUUAUGUCCAGGGCUACACACGUGCUACAAUGGCCGGUACAAUGCGCUGCUAAGCCGCAAGGUGGAGCCAAUCGCAAAAAACCGGUCUCAGUUCGGAUUGCAGGCUGCAACUCGCCUGCAUGAAGCUGGAAUCGCUAGUAAUGCCGUAUCAGAACGAUGGCGUGAAUACGUUCCCGGGCCUUGUACACACCGCCCGUCACAUCACGAAAGUGGAUUGUACUAGAAGUCUGCAGGCCGACUCGCAAGAGAGGCAGCGGCCCAAGGUAUGAUUCAUGAUUGGGGUG